CAACGAGCGCAACCCUGACCUUAGUUGCCUAGCAUUUCAGUUGGGCACUCUAAGGUGACUGCCGGCUAAAAAGUCGGAGGAAGGUGGGGAUGACGUCAAAUCAUCAUGCCCCUUAUGACCUGGGCUACACACGUGCUACAAUGGGCGGUACAAAGGGUCGCGAACCCGCGAGGGGGAGCCAAUCCCAAAAAGCCGCUCUCAGUUCGGAUUGCAGGCUGCAACUCGCCUGCAUGAAGCCGGAAUCGCUAGUAAUCGCGGAUCAGCAUGCCCGCGGUCGAAUACGUUCCCGGGCCUU
rnacentral:rRNA from 1 species